rnacentral:sRNA from 1 species
CCUGCUUUCUGGAUCUGUGCUUGUGAAAGGCUCCAUGGUCUUGCCUCCUUGCAGGUAGAGAAUGCCAAAGAUAAUGAAGAUAGUAUUCUACAAAGAGAAAUUCCUGCCAGACAAUCCCGAAGAAGAUUUCGGAAAAUUAACUAUAAAGG